UACGUAGGGGACAAGCGUUAUCCGGAUUUAUUGGGCGUAAAGGGAACGCAGGCGGUCUUUUAAGUCUGAUGUGAAAGCCUUCGGCUUAACCGGAGUAGUGCAUUGGAAACUGGGAGACUUGAGUGCAGAAGAGGAGAGUGGAACUCCAUGUGUAGCGGUGAAAUGCGUAGAUAUAUGGAAGAACACCAGUGGCGAAAGCGGCUCUCUGGUCUGUAACUGACGCUGAGGUUCGAAAGCGUGGGUAGCAAACAGG
rnacentral:rRNA from 1 species